AACGAACGCUGGCGGCAUGCCUAACACAUGCAAGUCGAACGAAGCCUUCGGGCUUAGUGGCGCACGGGUGCGUAACGCGUGGGAAUCUGCCCCUUGCUUCGGAAUAACAGUUAGAAAUGACUGCUAAUACCGGAUGAAGUCUUCGGACCAAAGAUUUAUCGGCAAGGGAUGAGCCCGCGUAGGAUUAGGUAGUUGGUGGGGUAAAGGCCUACCAAGCCGACGAUCCUUAGCUGGUCUGAGAGGAUGAUCAGCCACACUGGGACUGAGACACGGCCCAGACUCCUACGGGAAGCAGCAGUGGGGAAUAUUGGACAAUGGACGCAAGUCUGAUCCAGCAAUGCCGCGUGAGUGAUGAAGGCCUUAGGGUUGUAAAGCUCUUUUAACAGGGAUGAUAAUGACAGUACCUGGAGAAUAAGCUCCGGCUAACUCCGUG
rnacentral:rRNA from 1 species